AUGUUCUGUUUCAAACAAACGCUUGAGUCAGAAAAAAAUUAUUUUGACAGGAUAUUUAAAAAAUUAAUUAUUAUUUCUGUGGCUUCAAAACUGCUCCAGAAACCCCGAAAGCACUUCCAAACUGAGAUCAUUGAGCAUAUAAACAAUGGUGACAAGACAGCCCAAAGACCACCCCAACAUGGUUUAAGAAUGAAACUCAGAGUCUUGAAUCAAGUUAAUUCUCUGCAGGAGGAAGUGUCAGGACUCAGGCAGCUAGGGGGAUCUGCAUAAUUCUACUCCAUUGUUAAUAAAAUCUGUACUACAGAAGGUUCCAUGAUUUAUUGGCAAAUUUUAACUCUGCUCCCUCUUUGUUUCUCUACGAAAUAAGAACAUAGGUAUAUGUCUACAUAGAAUGGUCAGAGAUAGGGAAUAAAGGGGUUAAAGGAAAAAAAGUGGGCAUCCAAGUUGUGACAAUGAAACACAAUUGAUUCCCCUAAUGGAUAUUCUACUGAGAAUACCAGCUUGAAAAGAAGAAAAGUAGAAGCACUGUUUUUUUUUUAAGAGUUGCAGCAAUAAACAUUGUAUUCUCUUAGCAUAAAGGUGAGGUGUCACCAUAUUAGGGUGGCAGAACUAUCCCUGAGAACUACGCAUGACGCUGACAACCCAUCCUAGUUGUUCACAUAGAGAAUGGACCUAUGGGAUCCAUACGCAGAAGGAUUCUCCAGCUGGACUAUGCAUUAAACCACAAAAAUCCCUCAGAAAAUAAGAUGAAAACUGCUGAAGAGGAGAAAAUGUUGCCCUCAUUACUAUAGCCUUCUUACAAAGCAGAUAAUGACAUCUACCAUCAAACAAGAUAUGUCUCUUGUCAAGACAUUUUUUCUUAAUCCCCACAGAAACCUAUGUGUAUUUGUUUCUUCUGAUGUCACCAAUAUGGUUGUUUUUUUCCAAAACACCAACAUGGUUGUUUUUCCCAAUAGCCAAGUCUAUUAUACAUGUCAAUUUUCUCUCUACAUAUAAUCUGCACCGCAACACUAUCCCUCAAUCUUCUCUAUAGUGUUUACCAGUAAAACCAUUCCAGGAAUGGAAACAUUUAUUUCUAUUUGCAUAAAGUACUGCCUCUACUGUUUUCCUUUCUUCUAAAUUUAUUGUGAACCAGUAAUGGAUUUUUAACAGUAGAUUUUCUCUGAAAUCAACUUGGAAAUUUAUCCAAAAUGUAUUAAGCACCAACUGUGCCAGGAAUUAUACUAAACAUUAGGAACACAAAGUCAAAUUCAUUCUUUAUGCAUAAAAAUGUGUUGAGUAUUAAACUUCCACUUCAGAACCCGAUGGAAUAAGUGGUAUUGGACUUUUUCUUCCAAGAACAACAACUUAUAAAACUAGAAAUUUUAAG
rnacentral:lncRNA from 1 species